CUGCAGCUGCAGCCUGUUCUUCGUUCGCCGGUUGGAGAGUGCACACCAGAUUACGGUCUCCAUACACGUUGUCCACUCGCCCUG
rnacentral:sRNA from 1 species